GAGACCCCAGUGUCUACAGCAGCACCCAGGGGUGCUACAGCAGCACCCAGUGUCUACAGCAGCACCCAGGGGUGCUACAGCAGCACCAGUGUCUACAGCAGCACCCAGUGUCUACAGCAGCACCCAGGGGUGCUACAACAGCACCCAGGAGGAGACCAGCGUCUACAGCAGCACCCAGGAGGAGACCAGUGUCUACAGCAGCACCCAGGGGUGCUACAACAGCACUCAGAGUCUACAGCAGCACCCAGGGUUGCUACAGCAGCACCCAGAGUCUACAGCAGCACCCAGAGUCUACAGCAGCACCCAGUGUCUACAGCAGCACCCAGAGUCUACAGCAGCACCCAGAGUCUACAGCAGCACCCAGAGUCUACAGCAGCACCCAGAGUCUACAGCAGCACCCAGUGUCUACAGCAGCACCCAGUGUCUAGAGCAGCACCCAGAGUCUACAGCAGCACCCAGUGUCUAGAGCAGCACCCAGAGUCUACAGCAGCACCCAGUGUCUAGAGCAGCACCCAGUGUCUACAGCAGCAUCCAGUGUCUACAGCAGCACCCAGAGUCUACAGCAGCACCCAGUGUCUACAGCAGCACCCAGGGUCUACAGCAGCACCCAGAGUCUACAGCAGCACCCAGAGUCUACAGCAGCACCCACCCAGUGUCUACAGCAGCACCCACCCAGAGUCUACAGCAGCACCCAGUCUGCAGCCGUCCACCGUGGAGCCUUCACUACCAUCAGAGGCAUCUAUCCAAAGGGACUGACCGCAGGUCAUUAAGGAGAGGGAGGGGUCCGGGGGAGGGGUCAGGGGUCAUUAAGGAGAGGGAGGGGUCAGGGGUCAUUAAGGAGAGGGAGGGGUCAGGGGUCAUGAAGGAGAGGGGGGGGUCCGGGAGGGGUCAUUAAGGAGAGGGAGGGGUCAAGGGUCAUUAAGGAGAGGGAGGGGUCAGGGGUCAUUAAGGAGAGGGAGGGGUCAGGGGUCACUAAGGAGAGGGAGGGGUCAGGGGUCAUUAAGGAGAGGGAGGGGUCAGGGGUCAUUAAGGAGAGGGAGGGGUCGGGGGAGGGGUCAGGGGUCAUGAAGGAGAGGGAGGGGUCAGGGGGACGGGUCAGGGGUCAUUAAGGAGAGGGAGGGGUCAGGGGUCAUUAAGGAGAGGGAGGGGUCGGGGUCAUUAAGGAAAGGGAGGGGUCGGGGGAGGGGUCGGGGGUCAUUAAGGACAGGGAGGGGUCGGGGGAGGGGUCAGGGGUCAUGAAGGAGAG
ensembl:lncRNA